CCAUUCUGGCUCAAGAUUUAGAAGAACGGGAGCAUCUGGUUGGCACAGUGGAGACUGCCAUUUCUCCACAAGCCCUGGUGAGCGACUGGGAAUGGGAUAUAGAGCGAUGGAGUAGUUUGCAGGGGGAGGACUUGGAUCUGUGUAAGAUCAGGGGAUAUAUUGAAAGAGAUGGGACACCCAGGGCUGGAGAAAUCAUUGGCUCUCCUGCGGAGGAAUUUCUAUUGGCCCCAGAUGGAGGACAUGAUUGCCGCUUGGCUUCAAGCUUGCCCGUGCUGUGUACUGCAUAAGCCCGGACCCCAAGGUAAAGCCCCUUUGGUACCACUUGUUGGUAAAGCACCAAUGCAUAUCAUAGCUAUAGAUUUUUUGACUUUGAGUUGCCCUACUGACUGAUACCAGAACAUACUGGUUAUGGCCGAUUUGUUCACAAAAUUUGCAUGGGCAGUACCCACAUUUGAUCAGACUGCCCUUACGACAGCAUGCGCCCUAUGGACUUAUGUCAUUCAGCCAUUUGGUUGCCCGGAAGUACUGCAUUCUGAUCAAGGCCCCAAUUUUGAGUGUUGAUUAAUACAAGAACUUUGUCAGGUAUAUGGGUGUCGGAAAAGUCGAACAACCCCAUAUCAUCCAAUGGGGAAUGGAGCCUGUGAAUGGUUAAACCAGACUGUGUUGAACCUCCUCGGGUCACUGGAAGUAGAAAAACAUCAGAGGUGGGUGGAGUAUUUACUUGGACUCAUUCAAGCCUAUAAUAAUACUGUUCAUGCAUCUACAGGAUAUGCACCUGCUUUCCUGAUGUUUGGUCGCUACAUGAGGACACCAGUGGAUUUGUUGACAGGAGGCUUGGGAGUGGAGGCCCCUAUGGACAUUACAGUUUGGGUGGCCAAGCAUCAGGAGCAGCUGGCUUAUGGUUAUAAGAGAGCAGCUGACACUCUCCAGAAAGCAGGUCAGAAGAAUAAAAUACUUUAUGAUCGCACUGCUAGGGAGACUGCACUGCUACCUGGAGAGAGGGUCCUGUUGCGAGACCACAGAAGAUGGCAGAUGGGUAAACUGAGUGAUCGUUGGGAAAAGAGACCCUAUGUUAUUGUUGGCAGACUUCACCCAGAACGUCCCGUCUACAAGCUUCUCUGUCUGAUAUAACUGGGCACACAAGUGGGCUACCCGUGCCAAUGUGGGGACUUUUGCUCCCUGUGGGAGGGGGCGACCGAGGAAGGCCUGCACCUCCACCUGAGCCGAGGCGGUCCCAAAGGACUAACCUGGGGGUCCCACCCCAAAGAGCAGGGAGGGGCUGAUGUGGGAGCGUGUGCAUGACUGCGAUCCUGCCAGUCUCCAGGCGCUGAGUAGUGAGCGGGCACAAGGGCAGAAGGACAGUGGACCGGAUCGAGCGUGCACAGAAGGACAGCGCUGGAACGAGCGACAGGACACUUGUGGGAACGGUGGAAGGGGAGCGUUUGCCAAUCCCCCUCCUCUCAGCUAAGUGCCUCUUUAAUGCUCUAUCCGCUUUGUCAUCUGCAAGAAGACCUGCGGCUGAGCUUACGGCACGUCAUCAUUUGGCAAGUGUUUCUGCUGCAGAUGCACAGCUGUCUGAGAUUCCUCGUGUUGAGUUGACACCAACAGAAGGACUUGGCAGCAUCAUGCAGAUGCUGGGCAUAUUGAUGGAGAAGCAGAAUGACCUCAUCUGCAAAGUUGAUGCAUUGCUCACACAAAGUGUCCGUUCCCGAACAUACCAGGAGAGGGAACUUGAACUUGAUGAUGAGGAUGCUACUGAGAUGAUUGUUAGAAGAAUGUCCAGCUCUAAUCCGGAAAUGUGAGCUACAACAAAUUACAAGCAGUGCCUGGAAGUCUUGGGCCUUCCUGUAAAGUCACUUGAAGAACUGAAGAGUGCCAAUGAGAAACUUGAUGGUGAGGACAAGGGAGCCAGGCGCCGAAGGAAUGCCCUCAUCAACGCUUUGACUGCAUAUGCCCCUGGAAUUGGACAUGGAAAGAAUACUAUAACCAGCAUUGUCAGGGACUGCUUGUAUGCUAUAGCCCCAGUUUAUCUCUGGCAGUGCUUCAGCAGUCAGGGAAAGUCGGGAACUGCCAAAGGCAGCCUUGCCAGGGAUCUUCCACAAAUUUAUAGGGUUGUCAUGGCAGCUGUAAUAGCUAUUACAUCAAUGGACAGCAACACUAUAAUUUCUACGAUUAGUACCGUAAUACGAAGCUGUCCCAACAGAGCAGAAUCAAGGAAGUAUAGACAGGACCAUCCUGAACUUUUUCCUGACCAGAAAAAAGGAGAAUAAAACAACUGAGGACACCAUAAUCCACCCAGCCAUUGCCAUCAGCUCUGUCAAUGGUAGGCCUGUUAAAGAUUUUAUAUAUAUGUUAUCACUGUUAAACAUUUGUACCUUUUGUCUUCUUCCUCAUGAGAACGGUGUUGUGCUGUUUGCACUAACCCUGAGAAUGUACGUGUU